rnacentral:rRNA from 1 species
CAUGCAAGUCGAGCGGACAGAAGGGAGCUUGCUCCCGGAUGUUAGCGGCGGACGGGUGAGUAACACGUGGGUAACCUGCCUGUAAGACUGGGAUAACUCCGGGAAACCGGAGCUAAUACCGGAUAGUUCCUUGAACCGCAUGGUUCAAGGAUGAAAGACGGUUUCGGCUGUCACUUACAGAUGGACCCGCGGCGCAUUAGCUAGUUGGUGGGGUAAUGGCUCACCAAGGCGACGAUGCGUAGCCGACCUGAGAGGGUGAUCGGCCACACUGGGACUGAGACACGGCCCAGACUCCUACGGGAGGCAGCAGUAGGGAAUCUUCCGCAAUGGACGAAAGUCUGACGGAGCAACGCCGCGUGAGUGAUGAAGGUUUUCGGAUCGUAAAGCUCUGUUGUUAGGGAAGAACAAGUGCGAGAGUAACUGCUCGCACCUUGACGGUACCUAACCAGAAAGCCACGGCUAACUACGUGCCAGCAGCCGCGGUAAUACGUAGGUGGCAAGCGUUGUCCGGAAUUAUUGGGCGUAAAGGGCUCGCAGGCGGUUUCUUAAGUCUGAUGUGAAAGCCCCCGGCUCAACCGGGGAGGGUCAUUGGAAACUGGGAAACUUGAGUGCAGAAGAGGAGAGUGGAAUUCCACGUGUAGCGGUGAAAUGCGUAGAGAUGUGGAGGAACACCAGUGGCGAAGGCGACUCUCUGGUCUGUAACUGACGCUGAGGAGCGAAAGCGUGGGGAGCGAACAGGAUUAGAUACCCUGGUAGUCCACGCCGUAAACGAUGAGUGCUAAGUGUUAGGGGGUUUCCGCCCCUUAGUGCUGCAGCUAACGCA